AGAGUUUGAUCCUGGCUCAGAUUGAACGCUGGCGGAAUGCUUUACACAUGCAAGUCGAACGGCAGCACGGAGAGCUUGCUCUCUGGUGGCGAGUGGCGAACGGGUGAGUAAUAUAUCGGAACGUGUCCAAUAAUGGGGGAUAACGAGUCGAAAGAUUCGCUAAUACCGCAUACGCCCUACGGGGGAAAGCAGGGGAUCGUAAGACCUUGCGUUAAUGGAGCGGCCGAUAUCUGAUUAGCUUGUUGGUGAGGUAAAGGCUCACCAAGGCGACGAUCAGUAGCUGGUUUGAGAGAACGACCAGCCACACUGGAACUGAGACACGGUCCAGACUCCUACGGGAGGCAGCAGUGGGGAAUUUUGGACAAUGGGGGCAACCCUGAUCCAGCAAUGCCGCGUGUGUGAAGAAGGCCUUCGGGUUGUAAAGCACUUUUGUCAGGAACGAAACGGUGGGGGCUAAUAUCCUCUGCUAAUGACGGUACCUGAAGAAUAAGCACCGGCUAACUACGUGCCAGCAGCCGCGGUAAUACGUAGGGUGCGAGCGUUAAUCGGAAUUACUGGGCGUAAAGCGUGCGCAGGCGGUUUUGUAAGUCGGAUGUGAAAUCCCCGGGCUCAACCUGGGAACUGCGUUCGAAACUGCAAGGCUAGAGUGUGUCAGAGGGGGGUAGAAUUCCACGUGUAGCAGUGAAAUGCGUAGAGAUGUGGAGGAAUACCAAUGGCGAAGGCAGCCCCCUGGGAUAACACUGACGCUCAUGCACGAAAGCGUGGGGAGCAAACAGGAUUAGAUACCCUGGUAGUCCACGCCCUAAACGAUGUCAACUAGUUGUUGGUAGAGUAAAAUCUAUGAGUAACGUAGCUAACGCGUGAAGUUGACCGCCUGGGGAGUACGGUCGCAAGAUUAAAACUCAAAGGAAUUGACGGGGACCCGCACAAGCGGUGGAUGAUGUGGAUUAAUUCGAUGCAACGCGAAAAACCUUACCUACCCUUGACAUGUACGGAAUUCUGCUGAGAGGUGGAAGUGCUCGAAAGAGAGCCGUAACACAGGUGCUGCAUGGCUGUCGUCAGCUCGUGU
rnacentral:rRNA from 1 species